rnacentral:rRNA from 1 species
CACAUGCAAGUCGAACGGCAGCACAGAAGAGCUUGCUCUUUGGGUGGCGAGUGGCGGACGGGUGAGUAAUGUCUGGGAAACUGCCCGAUGGAGGGGGAUAACUACUGGAAACGGUAGCUAAUACCGCAUAACGUCGCRAGACCAAAGUGGGGGACCUUCGGGCCUCACACCAUCGGAUGUGCCCAGAUGGGAUUAGCUAGUAGGUGGGGUAAUGGCUCACCUAGGCGACGAUCCCUAGCUGGUCUGAGAGGAUGACCAGCCACACUGGAACUGAGACACGGUCCAGACUCCUACGGGAGGCAGCAGUGGGGAAUAUUGCACAAUGGGCGCAAGCCUGAUGCAGCCAUGCCGCGUGUAUGARGAAGGCCUUCGGGUUGUAAAGUACUUUCAGCGGGGAGGAAGGCGGUGAGGUUAAUAACCUUGCCGAUUGACGUUACCCGCAGAAGAAGCACCGGCUAACUCCGUGCCAGCAGCCGCGGURAUACGGAGGGUGCAAGCGUUAAUCGGAAUUACUGGGCGUARAGCGCACGCAGGCGGUCUGUUAAGUCAGAUGUGAAAUCCCCGGGCUUARCCUGGGAACUGCAUUUGAAACUGGCAGGCUUGAGUCUCGUAGAGGGGGGUAGAAUUCC